rnacentral:rRNA from 1 species
GACGAACGCUGGCGGCGUGCUUUAUACAUGCAAGUCGAACGAUGAAGUUCCUUCGGGAAUGGAUUAGUGCGAACGGGUGAGUAACACGUGAGUAACCUGCCCUUGACUCUGGGAUAACUGCUAGAAAUGGUAGCUAAUACCGGAUACGACCCUCGGCGGCAUCGCCAGGGGGUGGAAAGAAUUUCGGUCAAGGAUGGACUCGCGGCCUAUCAGCUAGUUGGUGAGGUAACGGCUCACCAAGGCGACGACGGGUAGCCGGCCUGAGAGGGUGACCGGCCACACUGGGACUGAGACACGGCCCAGACUCCUACGGGAGGCAGCAGUGGGGAAUAUUGCACAAUGGGCGCAAGCCUGAUGCAGCAACGUCGCGUGAGGGAUGACGGCCUUCGGAUUGUAAACCUCUUUUAGUAGGGAAGAAGCGAAAGUGACGGUACCUGCAGAAAAAGCACCGGCUAACUACGUGCCAGCCGCCGCGGUAA